AGAGUUUGAUCCUGGCUCAGGAUGAACGCUGGCGGCGUGCCUAAUACAUGCAAGUCGAGCGAACGGACGAGAAGCUUGCUUCUCUGAUGUUAGCGGCGGACGGGUGAGUAACACGUGGAUAACCUACCUAUAAGACUGGGAUAACUUCGGGAAACCGGAGCUAAUACCGGAUAAUAUUUUGAACCGCAUGGUUCAAAAGUGAAAGGCGGUCUUGCUGUCACUUAUAGAUGGAUCCGCGCUGCAUUAGCUAGUUGGUAAGGUAACGGCUUACCAAGGCAACGAUGCAUAGCCGACCUGAGAGGGUGAUCGGCCACACUGGAACUGAGACACGGUCCAGACUCCUACGGGAGGCAGCAGUAGGGAAUCUUCCGCAAUGGGCGAAAGCCUGACGGAGCAACGCCGCGUGAGUGAUGAAGGUCUUCGGAUCGUAAAACUCUGUUAUUAGGGAAGAACAUAUGUGUAAGUAACUGUGCACAUCUUGACGGUACCUAAUCAGAAAGCCACGGCUAACUACGUGCCAGCAGCCGCGGUAAUACGUAGGUGGCAAGCGUUAUCCGGAAUUAUUGGGCGUAAAGCGCGCGUAGGCGGUUUUUUAAGUCUGAUGUGAAAGCCCACGGCUCAACCGUGGAGGGUCAUUGGAAACUGGAAAACUUGAGUGCAGAAGAGGAAAGUGGAAUUCCAUGUGUAGCGGUGAAAUGCGCAGAGAUAUGGAGGAACACCAGUGGCGAAGGCGACUUUCUGGUCUGUAACUGACGCUGAUGUGCGAAAGCGUGGGGAUCAAGCAGGAUUAGAUACCCUGGUAGUCC
rnacentral:rRNA from 1 species